rnacentral:rRNA from 1 species
GACGAACCGAGCGAACGUUGUUCGGAAUCACUGGGCUUAAAGGGCGCGUAGGCGGGCUGUCAAGUCUGGGUGAAAUCCCGCCGGCUCAACCGCGGAACUGCCUCAGAUACUGACGGUCUCGAGGGGGGUAGGGGCGAGCGGAAACUAAUGGUGGAGCGGUGAAAUGCGUUGAUAUCAUUAGGAACUCCGGUGGCGAAGGCGGCUCGCUGGACCUCUUCUGACGCUGAGGCGCGAAAGCUAGGGGGAGCAAAACGGG